CACGUAGGGGGCAAGCGUUGUCCGGAUUUAUUGGGCGUAAAGAGCUCGUAGGCGGUUCGCUAAGUCGGGUGUGAAACCUCCAGGCUCAACCUGGAGACGCCACCUGAUACUGGUGUGACUCGAGUCCGGUAGGGGAGCGUGGAAUUCCUGGUGUAGCGGUGAAAUGCGCAGAUAUCAGGAGGAACACCAGCGGCGAAGGCGGCGCUCUGGGCCGGAACUGACGCUGAGGAGCGAAAGCGUGGGGAGCGAACAGG
rnacentral:rRNA from 1 species